CUAUUCAACCGAGACGCGGGACAGGAGGUCUGCCUCCAAAGGAGCGCCAAGCGCGGCGAGCCGCUGCACCGGGCCCUCGAACUGGCACCAUGUCGCAGAAAUGUCGGAACGUCCGAUGAUGAUCAGAGCUUCCAUCUGAGUGCGGAGGGCCUGCUGCGCGCCGUCGACGGCCUGUGCGUGGACAGCGGGCUCCGCUUGGUACCCUGUCACGGCCAGCAGCACGCCUGGGCCUUCACUCAGGGCUCGGGCCUGGUACACGUC